AAUACUCUACUAUAAAUUACCAUGGAGAAUGCAUGUGAAGGUUACAGCCUGAAAAAAAUGGUUUACAAAAGAAUUGUAUUUAUGGGUGUAUUGUUAGUUAUGGGGCUUCUCAUCUCUUCGGAUGUUUCAGAUUCAAGACUACUUACUGAGACCUCCAAUAAUUUGGCAUCUGAGAAGAACGAAUCGGAUAUCAAUAUCAUGUACACCUGCCCUGGCCGGUGCUGUGGUGUCAGAAGAGGACAUGCUAAAUAUUGUAAUUGCUGUUGAUUUAUUAGAUUGAUGGCUUAUUAUAUCUAUCCAAGACUAGUGGAUUAUUAAAUAAAUCUCAUUUUGGGAAAUGUAAUAAAAUCACUCAGAUCA